CAACAGCAGAGCGGAGCAGCGAGGAAGAGGACGCGCGCGCAUGGUAAGGUCCCGGUCGCAAAUCUUCAUUUCGUCUGCGACCCGCGCGGGACGGUGACGGUGACGUCACUCACAGCCGCCGCCAGGGAGAAGGAGCAAGGCACGGGCCGGGAGGAGGAUGAGGAUCUGCUGACAAUGUGAGGAGCCUAUGAUGUCCGGGCAUCAGACUCUGCAGAGAAGAUGGAGCUGGAAGAAGUCCUGGCGUCUGGACCAGAUAAAGAAGGAAAGGAAAGACAACAGAGAAGACAUCACUCAGCUUCUGAGGACAAUAAAAAGAAAGAGUCUGAGCCAAUGGACAAUGUGUAGAGAAGGAGUCAUCACCGGAGACAUCGCACUCACCUUCCCCGCACAACUUAUGGUCACGGAGCUGUUAGAGUUCUCCUUUACUGGAACUGGAAGGAAAUUUAUCACCUGUAAGAAGAGACCAGAAGGUUAUCUGCAUGUAGGACGGGGCCAGGAGGAAAUGGGACCUAUGAUAAGUGGGAAGGAGCCAUGACAGGGGGAGAUGUGCGGACUGGGGGACGAGGUGCGG